GCAAGGGGACAUUUGAUAGAUAGAUAUAAAAUAAAAUGUGUGGAAAGUUCGGCAAUUAUUAAAUCAAUGUUAUCCAUGUAGUUAGUCAGUCUGGACAUUUCUGGUUAAAAUCUACUCCAAUUAUGCAGAUAGUCAUCCUGAGACUUUUUGUCCUUAUCUCCCUCCUCCUGCCUCUACCCCCUUCCUGCGUCCCUCCCUCCCUCCUUUCCUUCCUUCCUCCUUCCUUCCUUCCUUCCUCCCUUCUUCCUUCCUUCCUCCUUCCUUCUUCCUCCUUCCUCCUUCCUUCCUUCCUUCCUCCUUCCUUCCUCCUCCCUCCCUCCCUCCCUCCCUUCCUCCUUCCUCCCUCCCUUCCUCCCUCCUUCCUCCUCCUUCCUUCCUCCUUCCUCCUCCCUUCCUUCCUCCUUUCCUUCCUUCCUCCUUCCUCCUUUCCUUCCUUCCUUCCUUCCUCCUCCCUCCCUCCUUCCUUCCUUCCUUCUUCCUUUCCUUCCUUCCUUCCUUCCUCCCUCCCUCCCUUCCUGCCUCUACCCCCUUCCUGCUUCCCUCCCUCCUUCCCUCCUUCCUCCUUCCUUCCUUCCUUCCUUCCUCCUCCUUCCUUCCUCCUUCCUUCCUCCUUUCCUUCCUCCUCCUUCCUUCCUUCCUUCCUCCUUCCUUCCUCCCUCCCUUCCUGCCUCUACCCCCUUCCUGCUUCCCUCCCUCCCUUCCUCCUUCCUCCUUUCCUUCCUUCUUCCUUCCUUCCUUCUUCCUUCCUCCUCCUUCCUUCCUCCUUCCUUCCUUCUUCCUUCCUCCCUCCUCCCUCCCUCCUUUCCUCCCUUUCUUUCCUUCCUUCCUCCUUCCUUCCUUCCUUCCUUCUUCCUUCCUCCUUCCUUCCUUCCUCCUUCCUUCCUCCUUCCUCCUCCCUCCCUCCUCCUUCCUUCCUCCUUCCUUCCUCCUUCCUUCCUUCCUCCUUCCUCCUUCCUUCCUUCCUUCCUUCCUUCCUUCCUUCCUUCCUUCCUUCCUUCCUUCUUCCCUCCCUCCCUUCCUGCCUCUACCCCCUUCCUGCUUCCCUCCCUCCCUCCUUUCCUCCUUUCCUUCCUUCCUUCCUUCCUUCCGUCCUUCCUUCCUCCUCCCUCCCUUCCUCCUCCCUCCCUCCCUCCCUCCCUCCCUUCCUCCUUUCCUUCCUUCCUCCUUCCUUCCUUCCUUCCUUCCGUCCUUCCUUCCUUCCUUCCUCCCUUCCUCCUCCCUUCCUCCUCCCUUCCUCCUCCUUCCUCCCUCCUUCCUUCCUCCUUCCUUCCUUCCUUCCUCCUUCCUUCCUUCCUUCCUCCCUCCCUUCCUUCCUUCCUUCCUCCCUUCCUCCUUCCUUCCUCCUUCCUCCUUUCCUCCUUUCCUUCCUUCCUUCUUCCCUUCCUCCCUCCUUCCUUCCUUCCUUCCUUCCUCCUCCCUCCCUCCUUCCUUCCUCCCUCCCUUCCUGCCUCUACCCCCUUCCUGCUUCCCUCCCUCCUUCCUCCUUUCCUUCCUCCUUUCCUUCCUUCCUCCUUCCUCCUCCCUUCCUCCUUCCUCCCUCCUUUCCUUCCUUCUUCCUUCCUUCCUCCCUUCCUCCCUCCUCCCUCCCUCCCUUCCUUCCUUCCUCCCUUUUCUUCCUUCCUUCCUUCCUUCCUUCCUUCCUUCCUUCCUUCCUUCCUUCCUUCUACCUCUCCUGUUUGUAGACAGACUACUUUGGAGUAUAUUUCAGCAGGGGUGGAUUUAUUUGUCUAAGGC
rnacentral:lncRNA from 1 species